rnacentral:lncRNA from 10 species
CGGAGAGCAGGUGACGGCGGCCUCCGGGCAUGGAGCUCGCGCUGACGAAAGGUUCUGGAAGCCGCCGUAAAAAGUAAUCAAGAAACGGGUGACAGGACUUUUCCCCUUUGAGGAACCGUUUGAGGUGUGGCACGAUACAGCAAGUCAGCUGCCAAAGAGGGGCUUAGCCACAGGAAGUGCGUGCCCAGAACGCAUCUCCCGUGUCCCUCACAGCAGUUCUAUGAGGCUGGCUGCCCUGUUUGACAACUGAGGCCCGCAUCUUCCCCGGAAUCACCGACGUGUGGCUCUGAGCCCUGUCCCAGGGAUUUUCUCCAUCAGAGAAGAGGAGCACUUUGAGCUUUGAGAGGAGCAGCCCUCUGCAAGUGAAGUGGAAAAAAAGGAAGCAGGCGAGGAGGCCCAUCCAGACCCUCCCCCAAGACCCUUGCUGAAAUGGCUGGGAUGCGGCGUGCAGAAGCUCUCCUUUCCUUCACAGCCCCUGGCUUUCCAAGAGUCCCUGCCCACCCAGAUGCCCGCUGGCAGAUGCAGCCUCAUCUCAAGGACACUGCUUGCUGGAUAAAUCCCUCACCACCCUAGAGACAGCCCACGGUCCUGAGACAAGGAUGCGGGCCAGGCUUGUUGCACGUAAGCGCCUCCCGCAGAAACCAGUGAGGCCGGAGUUCCAGAGGAAAUGAUGUAGGGACAGAGGCAGAGGGCCUCCAGGAGGCACCAGCCCCAGAGUCUUCCCUAGAAUCAGACUUUAAGCACAAGCAGGGAGGGAAAGCACUUGAGCAGUGCCCGUCCCUGCAUACCUGGCCUCUGCUGGAACCCAUGCAGGGACAGGACACUUCUUUAUCAGCAAUCCUGUUCCUCUCCUGGGCAGCUUCAACCUGAACAUCCUCCUUCACCUUGAGCUAAAAUGGGUUUCUUGUCACCCUUGCCCAUCAAACCUGGCCUUGCCCUCAGGAACCACACAGGACAAGCCUAAUACUUCCUUCUUGUGGCAACACUUUAGCAAUUGAGACCUGGCUGUCAGGUCCUCCAAAUAAACAUUUGUGACUGUGA